rnacentral:rRNA from 1 species
GUCGAGAAUCUUCCGCAAUGCGCGAAAGCGUGACGGAGCGACACCGCGUGAUGGAUGAAGUCCUUCGGGGCGUAAACAUCUUUUAUAAAGGAGGAAAUUUUUGACGUUACUUUAUGAAUAAGGGGCUCCCAAUCUCGUGCCAGCAGGAGCGGUAAUACGAGAGCCUCAAGCGUUAUCCGGAAUCAUUGGGCGUAAAGGGUGCGUAGGUGGUUUGAUUAGUCUCCCGUUAAAACUUCGAGCUUAACUCGAAAAGAGCGGGGGAAACGGUCAAACUAGAGUAUGUGAGAGGUGUGUGGAACUCAUGGUGUAGGGGUGAAAUCCGUUGAUAUCAUGGGGAACACCAAAAGCGAAGGCAGCACACUGGCACAUCACUGACACUGAGGCACGAAACCUAAGGUAGCGAAUGGGAUUAGAUACCCGAGUAGUCC